rnacentral:rRNA from 1 species
UACGUAGGGGUCGAGCGUUGUCCGGAGUUACUGGGCGUAAAGCGCAUGCGAGGCGGCUCAUUACGUCAUGGCGUGAAAAGCCCCCGGACUCAACCGGGGAGGGUCGUCGUGAACGGGUGAGCUUGAGGGUAUCAGGGGCUGGUGGAAUUCCCGGUGUAGUGGUGAAAUGCGUAGAGAUCGGGAGGAACACCUGUGGCGAAGGCGGCCAGCUGGGAUACACCUGACGCUGAGAUGCGAAGGCGUGGGGAGCGAACGGGAUUAGAUACCCCCCGUAGUCCCUGA